GUUUAGCAAUCUAUUAUCUGGAUGCUACCUCCAAGUCAUACAAGACUGCCAAUCCCGAAUUAAAGAAGAAACUGCAAAAUCGCUGUUUCUGAUCAGGACUGCCAGCAUACGUCCAUGCUUGUUAAUUCCUCCAGAGAAGGGUGACCUGGUGUAACUACUCCUUUGUGUGGCCACAACAAGAACUCACCAGGGAGAACCCGAAUAAGCAAACUGGAGAAAGAACACCAGGUUUUUGAAGAAGAGAGAAAAAAAACAAGCGCUACUAAGGAAAGCAGCCGCUAACUAUUAGUAUAUUCAGUUUUACGUUCCAGACUGGGACGUGUAUAGAUCGCUGGGGAAGAUUGUGCAACCCUGAGUGUAUAGAGAGGAACAACAAUAGCUGAGACCAGAGCCGCUCCUGUUAGUGACGGUUAUGGUAAGCUGCAGGACGCAGCACCUUUAUUUUGUAGUUAGUGUUUUAUUUUCUCUUUUUCUUUGUGCAUUCUGUUUUCAUUAUUUCAAGAACCUGCGAGUGCGCUGGGACUAUUAUUAAACAGAAGAAGGAACAUUAUACCGUUGCUGGUAGCGUUCCUGCUUAGGGCUACGGCGCCAUCUGCCGGAAACAAAAUAAAACUGCACCUGAGUGGUGUGUCAAAUACCAACUUCUGUCUCCUGUGUCAGUGAAUUCCCACACCCUUCCACACGUGGGAUUCACUGGCACUGCCCACACGCAGUAGUGCACGACCGGGGAGGAGACUGGACGCCAAACUUUAACCCUUUGAGUAGUACAAACAUACCGGUACGUUCGCUGCUCUCUGGUCCCCAGGGAGUACAACGUACCGGUACGCUCUGCAACUUUAAACUUGAAUUACUGAGCCUACAAAACCCUUGAUCACAUAAUAUUUUACAACUAGGUUUCUGUAACACCUUUUAUUGGUCUUUUGUGCCCUCUGCCAGAUAUUGACUGAAUUACAUAUAAUAAACCUAUUCACAAAAUGUGAACAGUGUUUGUAAACUGGCGAAAAUCGCUCAGUGAGAAAGAAGUUAGUAAUAAUACUGAAUUCAGAAUCAGAUUUAAAUUCAAAUACAUACAAUUCUUCCAUUGAAUCGGAUGUCAGCAAGUGUGUCAGUGAAGACAUAAGCGAAGAAUAUUUACCAACAACAUCAAGUGACAGCGAAGAGGCGGCGCCAAGCUCUGUGCAUUGCUCCAUGCUUCAGGAGUAUCAUAUGUUGAAGCAUUAGUCUCUCCCACUCCCUCCGCCCCCACAACCUGUUUACCCGGAUAUGAGUUAUUGAUCUCUCUUUGUUGUUGUGGUUGUUCCACCACGUUGUUUAUUGCCUACAUGUUAUUUUUUAGUCAAAAACUUUCCCUAUAACUAAAUAAAAAAUAUAUAUUUAUUUGUUUUAAUUAUUUACAGUAAAAGUGAUUUGUCUGUAUUUUGUCAGUAUUCAUGACAUACAUACAAACAUGUAGCUUUCAGCUUGUUUGUACGCUGUACUCGUAAUAAUCAAGCGCAUGCAAGAAAAAAGAAAAAAACUCACUCCCGUAGGACCGGCAGUGCAUUUUAGAACUCACUACUCAAAGGGUUAACUGCGGCUGUGCAGGGAGGUGCUAGAACUGCAGGACCAAAUCCCAGACUGCAGAGACCCACGAAGAUGACUGCAGAGGACCGGCCAGAAGCCUACCUGGAGGUGUUUGAGGCAGUGGUCACUUCUGCCAGGUGGGCCCAAGAUCAGUGGGCUAGCUACCUCCUGUCCCAGCUGACAGGGGAGGCACAAGCGGCGACAAGGUCAUUAUCACCCACAGAGAUGAUGGAUUACACCUGGCUGAAGGCAGCUAUUCUCAGCUGGGUGGGAGCCACUUCAGAGGGCUACCGCUGAAGGUUUCGAGAAGAGGUCUUCCUGGCGGAGGAGCAUCCCAAGGCCAUUGCGCAUCGGCUGAAGGAUUAUUCCAUGGGCUGGCUGAACCCCGAUGUGACCACCAAAGCCAGGUUGGUGGAGGUGAUUGUGGUGGAGCAGUUCUUGGAAUGCUUGGCUCCGGGGCCGCAUCUGUGGGUGCAAAGGCAGGCACCUGCCACUUUGGAUCAGGCAGAGCAGUACCAGGCAGCCGAACCAAAGCCCGCUAAGCUGCCUGGAAAGAUCGCUACUCCAGGAUUACUCCCUCUGCGGGUCCCAGGGACUGGGGAGAAGGGGUAAUUAGGUUUUUGGACAGGGGGUUGACAAUGGGACCUCCAAGCCCAGGAACCGCAGCAGGGUGAGAUUACCCAUGGGCUGCUGCGGGGUCGGAUUAGGUUCUCUCACAUUGCCACCUUACCGUCGAGCCCCAUUGAUGGCUCCAGUAUUUCCACCUCUUGCUGAAGCUUUAGGAUGAGAAACUAGUCCACGGACAUGUUGGACAUGCAGGGAGGUGGGCCACAUUGCUCGAUAUUGCCCCACCAUGGAGUGUGACCUCAUUCGACCAUGUGAGCAUGUUCAAUUACCUCAGUCACUCCAGCAGAUGGGUUUUGUCAUUCCUGUGUCAAUGGUGGUACAAAACCCAGGCUCUCUUGGAUUCAGGGUGUGGUCAGUCCCUAAUACAGGAGAGCCUAAUCUCAUCAGGGCAUAAACAAAUAUUGGGACGAGUGCAUAUUAAAUAUAUUCAUGGGGAUUUGCGCACUUAUCCCAAGAUUAGUGUAAAUAUAAAAAUUGGCCAGCAGGUGAUGCGAGUACAAGUGGGGUUGUGUCCUCUAUUGCCAGUGCCGGUAAUUUUGGGACGGGACUGUGAGCAGUUCAAAGAUUGGUUGGCUGCCUUGACAGCCCCGUCCUCUCUAUUGGCUACAGAGGAAGUAAUUGGAGAGAUCUUCCCCUUUCGUGACCCGGAAUGGUAUUGUCAUAAAUUUAAAACUAAACGGGAACGUCGGGCCGCUAAGAAUGA